rnacentral:rRNA from 1 species
AGAGCGAACGCUGGCGGCAGGCCUAACACAUGCAAGUCGAGCGCCCGUAGCAAUACGGGAGCGGCAGACGGGAUAGUAACACGUGGGAACGCGCCCUUCGGUUCGGAAUAACUCAGGGAAACUUGAGCUAAUACCGAAUACGCCCUUACGGGGAAAGAUUUAUUGCCGAAGGAACGGCCCGCGUCCGAUUAGCUAGUUGGUGAGGUAAUGGCUCACCAAGGCUACGAUCGGUAGCUGGUCUGAGAGGAUGACCAGCAUCACUGGGACUGAGACACGGCCCAGACUCCUACGGGAGGCAGCAGUGGGGAAUAUGGACAAUGGGCGCAAGCCUGAUCCAGCCAUGCCGCGUGGAUGAUGAAGGCCUUAGGGUUGUAAAGUCCUUUUAACGGGGAAGAUAAUGACGGUACCCGUAGAAUAAGCCCCGGACUAACUUCGUGCCAGCAGCCGC